rnacentral:rRNA from 1 species
GACAGAGGGUGCAAACGUUGUUCGGAAUUACUGGGCGUAAAGCGCGUGUAGGCGGCUCUGCAAGUCGGAUGUGAAAUCCCACGGCUCAGCCAUGGAAGUGCAUUCGAAACUGCAGGGCUAGAGUCCUGGAGAGGAAGGUGGAAUGCUUGGUGUAGAGGUGAAAUUCGUAGAUAUCAAGCGGAACACCGGUGGCGAAGGCGGCCUUCUGGACAGUGACUGACGCUGAGACGCGAAAGCGUGGGGAGCAAACAGG